GACGAACGCUGGCGGCGUGCUUAACACAUGCAAGUCGAACGAUGAAGCAGAGAAACGCCACCUUCGGUUCAAAUUUCACUUCGGAUUAGUGGCAGACGGGUGAGUAACGCGUGAGCAACCUACCUCUUACAAAGGGAUAGCCUCGGGAAACCGUGAUUAAUACCAUAUGACACAUUCAUAAGGCAUCUUAAGAAUGUUAAAGCUACGGCGGUAAGAGAUGGGCUCGCGUCCCAUUAGCUAGUUGGUGAGGUAACGGCCCACCAAGGCGACGAUGGGUAACCGGCCUGAGAGGGUGAACGCUCACAUUGGAACUGAGACACGGUCCAAACUCCUACGGGAGGCAGCAGUGGGGAAUAUUGCACAAUGGAGGGAACUCUGAUGCAGCGACGCCGCGUGAGCGAUGAAGGAAUUCGUUUCGUAAAGCUCUGUUCUAUGGGAAGAAAAGGACUGUACCAUAGGAGAAAGCCCCGGCUAAAUACGUG
rnacentral:rRNA from 1 species